rnacentral:rRNA from 1 species
CCUACGGGUGGCAGCAGUGGGGAAUAUUGGGCAAUGGGCGCAAGCCUGACCCAGCAACGCCGCGUGAAGGAAGAAGGCUUUCGGGUUGUAAACUUCUUUUCUCAGGGACGAAGCAAGUGACGGUACCUGACGAAUAAGCCACGGCUAACUACGUGCCAGCAGCCGCGGUAAUACGUAGGUGGCAAGCGUUAUCCGGAUUUACUGGGUGUAAAGGGCGUGUAGGCGGGGACGCAAGUCAGACGUGAAAUCCAAGGGCUCAACCCUUGAACUGCGUUUGAAACUGUGUUUCUUGAGUGAUGGAGAGGCAGGCGGAAUUCCGUGUGGAGCGGUGAAAUGCGUAGAUAGAAGGAGGAACACCAGGGGCGAAGGCGGCCUGCUGGACAGCAACUGACGCUGAGGCGCGAAAGCGUGGGGAGCAAACAGGAUUAGAUACCCCAGUAGGC